ACAAAUACAUGAUCAGCAGGUCCUGCCGGCAGUACUGUCUGCCAUGCAGGUGAAAAGGGAAGCCCGGUGCAAAUCCGGCACGGUCCCGCCACUGUGAUUCGAGAAUGAUCUCAUUAAGCCACUGUCCGGAAACAGGAUGGGAAGGCGGGAUCAUGCACCACUCGAAAGUCAGGAGACCUACCUGUUGAUGACUCUCGCG
rnacentral:ncRNA from 2 species